rnacentral:rRNA from 1 species
GGAGCCUGAGAAACGGCUACCACAUCUAAGGAAGGCAGCAGGCGCGCAAAUUACCCAAUGAAAACAGUUUUGAGGUAGUGACGAGAAAUAACAAUACAGAGCAUUUAAAUGUUUUGUAAUUGGAAUGGUGGGAAUCUAAACCCCUUUCAGAGUAACAAUUGGAGGGAAAGUCUGGUGCCAGCAGCCGCGGUAAUUCCAGCUCCAAUAGCGUAUAUUUGAGUUGUUGCAGUUAAAAAGCUCGUAGUUGGAUUUCUGUCUUGGCUUUUACGUGUACUACAUGUAUAUUAAUUUAUAGAUGUUUUAUAACAGCGUUUAAACUUUGACAUAUUAUCCCAAUGUGUGUAUGUGUGUGUAUAUAUAGAGAAUUAGGUUUUAARACCUUGAUUUAAUAUAUAUAUAUAUAUAUAAUCAUUGGGACUUUUACUUUGAGAAAAAUAGAGUGUUUCAAGCAGGUAUUUUUUUGCCUUGAAUACUGCAGCAUGGAAUAAUAAUAUAGGACUUUGGUUUUAUUUUGUUGGUUUCUAAGACUAGAGUAAUGAUUAAUAGGGAC